rnacentral:rRNA from 1 species
GACGAACCGUCCAAACGUUAUUCGGAAUCACUGGGCUUACAGAGUUCGUAGGCGGUCUGGAAAGUCGGAUGUGAAAGCCCUGGGCUCAACCUAGGAAGUGCAUUCGAAACUUCCGAGCUGGAGUACUGGAGAGGAAGGCGGAAUUCUCGGUGUAGAGGUGAAGUUCGUAGAUAUCGAGAGGAACACCGGUGGCGAAGGCGGCCUUCUGGACAGUUACUGACGCUGAGACGCGAAAGCGUGGGGAGCAAACAGG